rnacentral:rRNA from 1 species
AUACGGAGGAUGCGAGCGUUAUCCGGAUUUAUUGGGUUUAAAGGGAGCGUAGGCGGGAGCUUAAGUCAGCGGUUAAAUGGUGCGGCUCAACUGUGCCCUGCCGUUGAAACUGGGUUUCUUGAGAGUGCAAGAGGCGGAUGGAAUUCAUGGUGUAGCGGUGAAAUGCUUAGAUAUCAUGAAGAACUCCGAUUGCGAAGGCAGUCCGCUGGGGCACGUCUGACGCUGAUGCUCGAAGGUGCGGGAAUCAAACAGGAUUAGAUACCCUGGUAGUCCGCACAGUAAACGAUGGACACCCGCGGUUUGGCCUAUAUGGCUGAGCCGCCAAGCGAAAGCGUUAAGUGUCCCACCUGGGGGGUACGCCGGCAACGGUGAAACUCAAAGGAAUUGGCGGG